rnacentral:rRNA from 1 species
AACAGGAUUAGAUACCCUGGUAGUCCACGCCGUAAACGGUGUCGACUUGGAGGUUGUGCCCUUGAGGCGUGGCUUCCGGAGCUAACGCGUUAAGUCGACCGCCUGGGGAGUACGGCCGCAAGGUUAAAACUCAAAUGAAUUGACGGGGGCCCGCACAAGCGGUGGAGCAUGUGGUUUAAUUCGAUGCAACGCGAAGAACCUUACCUACUCUUGACAUCCAGAGAACUUUCCAGAGAUGGAUUGGUGCCUUCGGGAACUCUGAGACAGGUGCUGCAUGGCUGUCGUCAGCUCGUGUUGCGAAAUGUUGGGUUAAGUCCCGCAACGAGCGCAACCCUUAUCCUUUGUUGCCAGCGAUUCGGUCGGGAACUCAAAGGAGACUGCCAGUGAUAAACUGGAGGAAGGUGGGGAUGACGUCAAGUCAUCAUGGCCCUUACGAGUAGGGCUACACACGUGCUACAAUGGCAUAUACAAAGAGAAGCGACCUCGCGAGAGCAAGCGGACCUCAUAAAGUAUGUCGUAGUCCGGAUUGGAGUCUGCAACUCGACUCCAUGAAGUCGGAAUCGCUAGUAAUCGUGGAUCAGAAUGCCACGGUGAAUACGUUCCCGGGCCUUGUACACACCGCCCGUCACACCAUGGGAGUGGGUUGCAAAAGAAGUAGGUAGCUUAACCUUCGGGAGGGCGCUUACCACUUUGUGAUUCAUGACUGGGGUGAAGUCGUAACAAGGUAACC